rnacentral:rRNA from 1 species
CCUACGGGUGGCAGCAGUGAGGAAUAUUGGUCAAUGGCCGGAAGGCUGAACCAGCCAUGCCGCGUGAAGGUCAGUGCCCUAUGGGCGUUAAACUUCUUUUGUGCGGGAGCAAUAAUGGUCACGUGUGGCCAGACGAGAGUACCGUACGAAUAAGCAUCGGCUAACUCCGUGCCAGCAGCCGCGGUAAUACGGGGGAUGCAAGCUUUAUCCGGAUUUAUUGGGUUUAAAGGGUGCGUAGGAUGUGGGGUAAGUCAGCGGUGAAAUGCCCCCGCUCAACGGGGUGAAGUGCCAUUGAUACUGCCAUGCUGGAAUGCGGAUGCGGUGGGAGGAAUGUGUGGUGUAGCGGUGAAAUGCAUAGAUAUCACACAGAACACCGAUUGCGAAGGCAUCUCACGAAUCCGCGAUUGACGCUGAUGCACGAAAGCGUGGGUAUCAAACAGGAUUAGAUACCCUUGUAGUC